AUUGAACGCUGGCGGCAGGCCUAACACAUGCAAGUCGAACGAGUGGCGGACGGGUGAGUAAUGUCUGGGAAACUGCCCGAUGGCGGGGGAUAACUACUGGAAACGGUAGCUAAUACCGCAUACCAUCGGAUGUGCCCUGGUGGGAUUAGCUAGUAGGUGGGGUAACGGCUCACCUAGGCAACGAUCCCUAGCUGGUCUGAGAGGAUGACUGGCCACACUGGAACUGAGACACGGUCCAGACUCCUACGGGAGGCAGCAGUGGGGAAUAUUGCACAAUGGGCGAAAGCCUGACGCAGCCAUGCCGCGUGUAUGAAGAAGGCCUUCGGGUUGUAAAGUACUUUCAGCGGGGAGGCGUUACCCGAAGAAGAAGCACCGGCUAACUCCGUGCCAGCAGCCGCGGUAAUAC
rnacentral:rRNA from 1 species